CCCUUUCUCUACUCUUCUUCCCCAGGGUAGAAGAAUUAAUCGCCAGGAAGCUUCUCUCUCUAAACGGGAAUUAGUCGCUAGGAAGUUUACGGUUCAAGAAUUGACAUUAGGUGGUGUCUUUGAUCAAAUCCUCUCACCUCGUGAGAAGCUUCGAGCGGUCUUCCUUCAGAGCCCUUUGUCCCACUCUGAUUUAGUUCUUUAAUCGGGCGGUGAAUGUGAAGUUCUUUGGUUUGCAGCGGGUAGGUACAGAGAUGCGGUGGGCAUGUGGACAUAUGUGUUGAAGACUACCUACUUCAAAUGUUAAACAUUUGGAUUUAGAUAUAAUGUCUCAAGGUUUACUUUGUCACAGAAAAUACAACUAUAAUAAUCUGGAUGGGAAAGGUUUAUUUCAAGCAAUCGAUGCUCAUGAUGUUAUAGUGAAGUGCAGAUUACAGAUUUUCUUAUCUUACUUUGGGGUUGCUGUGUUUCUUACGAUUACCUUUUAUUUAAUUAUGAUGAAGGUAUCUCCUAACCAUUCUCAUGGCUUUUAUUGUGUGUAUCUGUAGGUUUUAUUUGCCAAAAGACAUGUUUCAAGGGAGGAUUUUUAGAAUGACACUUUGUAUAGGUUGUGGGCAUAAACUUGCUCUUGCUUUAGUUGCUGAUGCCUCACAGAAUUUUUGUCUAACAGGACUUGUGUGUCAGCUCGAUUUGGAAAACUCUAGUGUGUUUCCUCAUGGCAAAAGUCUUGCAUUACAAUCCUGUAAAGAAUGGUGAAGUUUCAAACUUUUUUUUUUUUUUGUAUUUUAAGCUGCCUUUGAUUCAUGACUUCUUUCAUGUUUGAAUUAGUUAAUUUGAAUGAGCAGAUUUCAAUAUAAUUGUUGUUAUAUAAUUAAAAACUGAUGCCAUAUAAGAUGUGAUAACUGUAGUACUACUUUUCGGUUCUUAUUUACAUAUUUCUUUUAUGUUGUCGAACAACUUUAACAAGGUGAAAUAUGUUUUGAUUGAUGUUGAAUGAGUUUGACACCAAUAGAAGGGCUCAUUUGGUCUUAAACAGAGCUGUUUUGACAACCUGCAUUCUUUUUUCUUCUUCUUUUUCGCUGGAGACUUCACACACCAAUUUAUGGUUUUUCUUGAACAAUGUAGAAUCAGUGGUGAUUAUGCCAGCAUUUGGUGUUCAACAUGAAACUCAUUACUGGAGGAUGGAGAUGCUGGAUUUGCCUUACAUAAUCACUUGAGAGCAUGUUUAGGAGUUGGGAAAAUACAUGUCCAACACAAAAUGGACAUAUAAUGUGAAGCAUUGGCCACUAAAGAAGGGUUGUUUGCUUCAAAUCGAGGAUUCAUUCGUAUUCAGAUUGAAACAGAUUCCUCGAUAUUGUGCAACACAUUUACCAAAGACGUUGCUCCACCUUUGGCAUUUGCGGAUCAUCAUUCAGGAUAUCAAAGCACUUCUUCAAUAAUUUACUUAUUAUAUUUUUCUAUACUGUAGUAGAGAAUGUAACCAAACAACUAAUUGGGUUACCAAAAAAUACUAGGGUGUCUAAUGUAUCAAUGAUUUGAAAGGACAAUUAUCCCCCCGAGUUAUCCUUGUAUUUGCUCAACGACUAACAGUUCUUACCGUAGAACUUUAACUCAGGAAUCUAAGUUUUCUUUUUCUUGAAAUAAAAAUGCAGUGCUUUAAUAUGUCUAUAUUUUGAUGCAGUGUUGGAUACGUAUAUAUCUUUCACUUGACACUACCUACUUGGGAAAAGAAGCUAUGUGGUCAGUCUGGCUUGGAUCAAAGUUGGAACAGGUUUGUUGCUGAGGAGAAACCCAGACGCUACAUAAGCUGGACAAGCAGCAGAAAUGGACAAAAGCUGACAACUCAUUUCACACGCCAACUCUGACCGACAAAAGCAGCUGGCGAGUGCUCAUAUCCAUACAUGCAAUGCUUUUAUACCAACACUUGGGAAUGGGUUCCCGUCUGAGGCUGUUCUGAAGAGGAGACCACGAAUUGCAGUACACGCGGAACUAUUCAUUUCAUGGUAUCCCUGACGAGCUGGAGGAGCCACAGAAGCGGAUAAAAUGGUGAAUCCAAGCUGUAAAGGGUUUAAAUACUCCUCAAAGCGACCGACAUGGACACACAAGACAGCAGGAUGGGAAGUUUGGUUUCAGUACGUGAAGGCAGUGGUGCUUCGAAUUAAAGCUGGUCGAAGGGCUUUAAAGGCAUUUCAGUCAAUUGGAAAACGUUGAUGAAAGGUUGAAUGCCUCGUGUCACAAAUUCUGCAUCGAUUCUAGAGAAGCAAUACUUGUCCUGUUCGAAGAUCAUUAGCUGUUGUGGAUGGGUUGGCGGGACAAAUGGCAUCUUAAAUCGUACCGAUAUCUGAUUAAAAAUCACUGGAAUUCGAGCCAUCCCAGCUGUUCUUCUGAGGCCAUUGUCUGCCUGAAUCACCCACAGCUGUGGAUGGGGCAAUUAUAUGAGCAUAUUUAUGACAGUGAUUGCCUCCUAAAAUUCAAUCAUAGUUCAGAGGAUCCGGUCGUAUUCAUUGCACCAGCAACCAUCCGAGUUUUCCUCCUGUGUCUCAGAGAAUUUCUAUGAUCCAUGGAUUGAUGGAUUUAUUACGACUUGCAUCACCGGGGCAAUCACGAUGUCAACUCGCAGGGAGAAGUGAAGAAUCUCCUGCUCUCGGACUUGAUUGCAUUUCAGUCGACACAUCUCUCGUGGAGGGACAUGAAUGAAGUAACAAUAUCUACUGCGCCUGCACUGCAAGAUUUGACGUAGCAAACGCAGUGGCUGUUUAAUAGGUGGAGGCAGCAAGAAACACCGAAUGCAGACGACAGACAGAUCGAUGGCUGCAGCCAGUAAUAAUUUUUAUAAGAUAUGCAGCAGAUUUGGUAACGUGGCACUCGCAACUAGUCUCCUCCGUCUCGUCUUGUGUACCUUCUUAAAUGAGAUGUCCACGUCUUGGCGUCAUUCGCAGGCUCA